GGAGAAAUGUCCUCUGGUCUGAUGAAACAAAAAUAGAACUGUUGGCCAAAUAUCAUCAUAUGUUUGGAGGAAAAAGGGGAGGCUUGCAAGCUGAAGAACAACCAUCCCAAACUGUUGAAGCACGGGGGUGGCAGCAUCAUGUUGUGGGGGUGCUUUGCUGCAGGAGGGACUGGUGCACUUCACUAAAUAGAUGUCAUCAUGAGGAAAAAAAAUUAUGUGGAUAUAUUGAAGCAAUAUCUCAAGACAUCAGUCAGGAAGUUAAAGCUUGGUCGCAAAUUGGUCUUUCAAAUGGACAAUGACCCCCAAGCGUACUUCCAAAGUUGUAGCAAAAUGGCUUAAGGACAACAAAGUCAAGGUAUUGGAGUGGCCAUCACAAAGCCCUGACCUCAAUCCUACCCGAAAACGUUUGACGCAAGUUGAACAAUUUAAAGGCAACGCUACCACAUACUAAUUGAGAGUAUGUAAACUUCUGACCCACUGGGGAUGUGAAAGAAAUAAAAGCUUAAAUAAAUCAUUCUCUCUACUAUUAUUCUGGCAUUUCACAUUCUUACAAUAAAGUGGUGAUCCUAACUGACCUUAGACAGGGAAUUUUUACUAGGAUUAAAUGUCAGGAAUUGUGAAACUGAGUUUUUAAAUGUAUGUAAACUUCCGAAUUCAACUGUACACAAGUGAUAUAUAGUAAUGUGUCUCUCCUUGUCCCUGUAGUUCCUAGUGUGUGUCGGUAUGAUCCUGUGGAACUUYGUAGUGAAGCAGGAGGACAUCUUGGGACAGGUGUUGACAUUCACACUGCUCUAUGGGUCACUCUACAGCACAUAUGUCUGGACUGGUAUGUACCAUGUGUCUGGACUGGUGUCUGGACUGGUAUGUACCAUGUGUCUGGACUGGUAUGUACCGUGUGUCUGGACUGGUAUGUACCGGGUGUCUGGACUGGUAUGUACCACGGGUGUCUGGACUGGUAUGUACCACGGGUGUCUGGACUGGCAUGUACCACGGGUGUCUGGACUGGUAUGUACCACGGGUGUCUGGACYGGUAUGUACCACAUGUGUCUGGACGGGUAUGUACCAUGUGUGCCUGGACUGAUAUGUACCACGUGUGCCUGGAUGGGUAUGUACCACAUGUGCCUGGACUGGUAUGUACCACGUGUGUCUGGACAGGUAUGUACCGUGUGUCUGGACUGGUAUGUACCACGUGUGUCUGGACAGGUAUGUACCGUGUGUCUGUGUCUUGGAUGGGAUGUACCGGUGUCUGGCUGGUAUGUGCAGCGUGUGUGUCGGACUGGUAUGUGCCGCGUGUUUGUCUGGAUUGGUAUGUUACCGCGUGUGUGUCUGGACUGGUAUGGUGCCGCGUGUGUGUCUGGACUGGUAUGUACCGCGUGUGUGUCUGGACUGGUAUGUACCGUGUGUGUCUGGACUGGUAUGUACCGCGUGUGGUUGAUGAUGUUACGGUGUGUCUGGACUGGUAUGUACG
rnacentral:lncRNA from 1 species